AAAUUGAUUGAUGCAAUACGAUCUGAAAUAAAUCGCAGCCAAAAUUUCACUUGCUGAAGUUGUACAGUAAGUGGUUCUCUGAGACUGACUGUUAUAAGGUGAACUGCAGGUUGUUGAAAAGAGCAACAAAUUCAGGUGUACCAAACAAUGCUCUGUGUUCUGACCCUGGUACUAAUCGGUGUGAAAGACCUAGAUCUUUAUAAUAAUAGAAUUGCACACAUUUUCUUUACACUCACAAGUCAGCUUUGAUAGUUUGAUAUCUAAAUGAGCAACUUGAUGAGAAUGUAAAUGACUAAGUGCCAUUAAAACUUGACGGACCUAUAAAAGAAUACAAUUGAUACCAGGUUUAUAAUAUGAAUUCCAGCAUACUUUCUU